GCUGGGCGUGGUGGCGCACGCCUGUAAUCCCAGCUACUUGGGAGGCUGAGGCACGAGAACUGCUUGAACCCAGGAGGUGGAGGUUGCAGUGAGCCGAGAUCCCAUCACUGAACUCCACCCUGGGCAACAGAGUGAGACUCUGUCUCAA
rnacentral:SRP_RNA from 1 species